rnacentral:rRNA from 1 species
GUGUCAGCCGCCGCGGUAAUACGUAGGGUGCGAGCGUUAAUCGGAAUUACUGGGCGUAAAGCGUGCGCAGGCGGCCUGAUAAGUCAGAUGUGAAAUCCCCGGGCUCAACCUGGGAACUGCAUUUGUGACUGCAUGGCUAGAGUACGGUAGAGGGGGAUGGAAUUCCGCGUGUAGCAGUGAAAUGCGUAGAUAUGCGGAGGAACACCGAUGGCGAAGGCAAUCCCCUGGACCUGUACUGACGCUCAUGCACGAAAGCGUGGGGAGCAAACAGGAUUAGAUACCCCGGUAGUCC